rnacentral:lncRNA from 1 species
CCGCAAGAGUAUUAGUAUUGUCCUAUGCAUCUCGAUCUGCAACCAGAAGAUUGAGCUGAUACGAGGUCUUGAGUGUGCAUGGCUGUAAGUAGUAUCCCCUACUUAACUGCUGUAGCAUCUCCCUGAGAUCUUUGUUUGCAAGGCUUGUUGGCGCCAAUUCGUGAGAUCUACUGGACUAGCAUGCAACAAGGCAGCAGUAGCACUGACAGUGAGCGAGCUGCAAGUGGGAGAGAAGCCAGCUCACGCGAGUCCUGCAUCCCUCAUUUC